ACAUUACUCUUUCAUUAAACAACAAAUGAGCAUACAAAAAUGAUACAAACAACACCCCUAAUCUGGACUACACAAUUGAUAUUUUCUCCAUUUGGAAGACUUAAAAUUUCAUAUUAGUUAUUGAUUAACCUCUUGCAACACCAUUAAAAAUAAUUUUUUUAAGUCAUUUUUCGAUGAUGUCUAACAUGCAUAUUUUUUAAAACUCGCUUUUUGGAAGAAUCAAUCAAUGUCAUUGUUCAAACAAAUAAGGGAGAAUUACUGCCCAGUGGGGGCAGUAAACAAAACUUAAAAAUUAGUGGGGAAUUUCUACAAAUUAUAUUAGCAAUGGAGAGUGAAAUUUAUAUCACCAACUCAUGGAAUCUUGAGGGAAAAUGAUCGAUUUACCCUUCUAGGGAAAACGACAUCGUGGUCAAUAGUAGCAACUCAAUUACCAGGAACUACUGAAUGAUAUCAAGAAUUACUGGAACACCAAGUUCAAGAAGAAACUCAUGAAGAUUGGAAUUGGGAUUGCCCCUUCUUUCUCUCACAAUUAACGAAGAGUUCAUCAUCACCAACCCACAAGCUACCCAUUCAUUUCACUUCUUCAUCACGUUUCAACAUCAUCACCAUCCUCUCCACUUUCAUCAUCAUCAUCUCCGCUUUCAAUUUAUGGUUUUGUUAAGGACAAAAUGAAUUAUUUAUAGUUUCUCUCAAUGCAUUGACCACUUAAACAUCUUUUGUUUGAUUGGUUAGGAACAUGGUAUAUUCCUUGAAAGGGGAAUUAAUUAAUCUUAUUCGUGAUGUCUUAUUGAUCAAUAAUAUUGUAGUGUUCAUUUGUA